rnacentral:misc_RNA from 1 species
ACACCUCAACUCUCGUGGCUUGCCAUGAUGAGCUUGGACUAUGGGGGUUUUGCUGGCCUGAGGUCAGCUCCUCUCAAAUGAAUCAGCUUGCCAGUGUUUGGUGGCAUCACAGGUGUGAUAACUAUCUACGCUUGUGGUUUUCCACCAGGUAACCUUCAGCGAUGGAGGUUCGCUGGGGCUCAUAAACGUCUCUCCUCAGUGAGGACAGCUCUUUGAAC